UACUUUGCGCAGAGGCAAUAUCGUAACCAAUGAGGUUAAUCCGAGGUGCGAUUAUUGUUAGUUGAAAUAUAUAUAAGUAUUUUAUAAAAUUCAUAACAUUUUAUGUUAUUAUUUCAUAUUA